rnacentral:rRNA from 1 species
UGAGUGAUGAAGGCCUUAGGGUUGUAAAGCUCUUUUACCCGGGAUGAUAAUGACAGUACCGGGAGAAUAAGCUCCGGCUAACUCCGUGCCAGCAGCCGCGGUAAUACGGAGGGAGCUAGCGUUGUUCGGAAUUACUGGGCGUAAAGGGAGCGUAGGCGGACUGUUUAGUCAGAGGUGAAAGCCCAGGGCUCAACCUUGGAAUUGCCUUUGAUACUGGCAGUCUUGAGUACGGAAGAGGUAUGUGGAACUCCGAGUGUAGAGGUGAAAUUCGUAGAUAUUCGGAAGAACACCAGUGGCGAAGGCGACAUACUGGUCCGUUACUGACGCUGAGGCUCGAAAGCGUGGGGAGCAAACAGGAUUAGAUACCCUGGUAGUCCACGCCGUAAACGA